ensembl:lncRNA
GAAGGAUCACAUCAUCAUGGUUAUCUGGCUCAAGAAGAUCUUUGGUUGGACCACAUUUUGUCAGAUGGACAUGAGUUUGAGCAAACUUGGGAGAUAGUGAAGGACAGGAAAGCCUGCUGUGUGCUUCAGUUCAUGGGGUCACAGAGAGCUGGACACGACUUAGUGACUGAACAACAAUGACAAGAAAUCAUGCCAAAACAUGGAAUUAAGAAGGGACUCGAUCAUUUACCAGUGUCAAAAAAAAAAAAAAAAAAGAGAGAGAGAGAGAAAGAGCUGUGUAGAUAUACAAGGAUUCAAAAAUAUAAAAAAGGUGUGUUCCAUUGGAGGCAAUAACUAGGCAAAUGAUUCUAACCAAACAAAAAUUUAACCAGAACAGAAACCUCAAGAAAGGAGAAUACAAGAUGACAGAAUUACUGAGAACACUCCCUCUGCAUAAUUUAUAG